rnacentral:rRNA from 1 species
UACGUAGGGGGCAAGCGCUGUCCGGAUUUACUGGGCGUAAAGAGCGCGCAGGCGGUCGUUCAAGUCGCGUGUGAAAGCCCCCGGCUCAACUGGGGAGGGUCACGCGAUACUGAUCGACUGGAAGGCAGGAGAGGGUAGUGGAAUUCCCGGUGUAGUGGUGAAAUGCGUAGAUAUCGGGAGGAACACCAGUGGCGAAGGCGACUACCUGGCCUGUUCUUGACGCUGAGGCGCGAAAGCUAGGGGAGCAAACGGG